AUUGAACGCUGGCGGCAGGCCUAACACAUGCAAGUCGAACGGUAACAGGAAGAAGCUUGCUUCUUUGCUGACGAGUGGCGGACGGGUGAGUAAUGUCUGGGAAACUGCCUGAUGGAGGGGGAUAACUACUGGAAACGGUAGCUAAUACCACAUAACGUCGCAAGACCAAAAAGGGGGACCUUCGGGCCUCUUGCCAUCUGAUGUGCCCAGAUGGGAUUAGCUAGUAGGUGGGGUAACGGCUCACCUAGGCGACGAUCCCUAGCUGGUCUGAGAGGAUGACCAGCCACACUGGAACUGAGACACGGUCCAGACUCCUACGGGAGGCAGCAGUGGGGAAUAUUGCACAAUGGGCGCAAGCCUGAUGCAGCCAUGCCGCGUGUAUGAAGAAGGCCUUCGGGUUGUAAAGUACUUUCAGCGGGGAGGAAGGGAGUAAAGUUAAUACCUUUGCUCAUUGACGUUACCCGCAGAAGAAGCACCGGCUAACUCCGUG
rnacentral:rRNA from 1 species